rnacentral:rRNA from 1 species
UACGGGGGGAGCAAGCGUUGUUCGGAUUUACUGGGCGUAAAGCGCACGCAGGCGGUUUCGUACGUCUGGAGUGACAGUUCCCGGCUCAACUGGGAAAGGUCUUCGGAAACGGCGAGACUUGAGGGCUUCAGAGGGACACGGAAUUCCGGGUGGAGUGGUGAAAUGCGUAGAGAUCCGGAGGAACACCAAUGGCGAAGGCAGUGUCCUGGGAAGCAUCUGACGCUCAGGUGCGAAAGCUAGGGGAGCGAACAGG